GAUGAACGCUAGCGGCAGGCUUAAUACAUGCAAGUCAAGGGGGUAGCAAUACAACCGGCGCACGGGUGAGUAACGCGUACACAACAUACCAUAUACUGGAGUAUAGCUUUGGGAAACUGAAGGUAAUCCUCCAUAACAUUGCGAGAGGGCAUCUGAUUGCAAUUAAAGUUUCGGCGGUAUAUGAUUGGUGUGCGUUUGAUUAGCUAGUUGGUAGGGUAACGGCCUACCAAGGCGACGAUCAAUAGCUGGCGUGAGAGCGCGACCAGCCACACUGGAACUGAGACACGGUCCAGACUCCUACGGGAGGCAGCAGUAGGGAAUAUUGGACAAUGGAGGAAACUCUGAUCCAGCCAUGCCGCGUGAUAGAUGAAGGCCCUCUGGGUUGUAAAUAUCUUUUAUCUGGGAAGAAACACUCCUAUUCUUAGGAACUUGACGGUACCAGAGGAAUAAGCACCGGCUAACUCCGUGCCAGCAGCCGCGGUAAUGUA
rnacentral:rRNA from 1 species